UACCAAACAUUGCCAUUAGUAACAAUCAUUGAUGCUUACUUCAAACCAAGGUACGAAAACCAGCAUUAGAGCACAAAAACUGUCAUAACAUUUUUCAGCCAGUUUUGAUGUUUUUGUUUCAGCAUCAAGUAUUGUUGUUUUUAUUUUCUUUACAGUUUUGGCGUACUAUUUUGAUUAGCGAUGAGCUGAGUUCCCCCACCCCAACCCUAACAAAAAAGAAAGAAAGAAGAAAAAAAAGAAAUGGCGAAAAAAUCAGUUUUGGUUUUCCGAAGAAAAGGAACUAAACAAGACAAAAUAAAAACAACGUAAAACACGAAACUUCCCUUACAACGAUACUAUUCAGAAAUUUUAUGUGGAAAAGAAGCAAAUUAUGAAGUUAACGAUUGUUAAGUAUCUUGUUAAUUUUAUAUUUUCAGAUGAAUGUGCAUUCAGUGUAUAUUAAAAGGGAAAAGAAAAUCAUUCAGAACUCCUUAUCGUCAGACGUAAACUUUAUGUGUACAGUCAGUGCACAGACCUAAAUCAUAUUUGAACGACAAAGAUUUUGGCGUACUAUUUUGAUUAGCGAUGAGCUGAGUUCCCCCACCCCAACCCUAACAAAAAAGAAA